UACGGAGGGUGCGAGCGUUGUCCGGAAUCAUUGGGCGUAAAGGGCGCGUAGGUGGCGCGGCAAGCGUGCGGUGAAAGCUCGGGGCUCAACCCCGAGUCGGCCGUGCGAACUGCUGGGCUUGAGCACUGUAGAGGCAGGCGGAAUUCCGGGUGUAGCGGUGGAAUGCGUAGAGAUCCGGAAGAACACCGGUGGCGAAGGCGGCCUGCUGGGCAGUAGCUGACACUGAUGCGCGGACAGCAUGGGGAGCAACAGG
rnacentral:rRNA from 1 species